rnacentral:rRNA from 1 species
UACGAAGGGGGCUAGCGUUGCUCGGAAUGACUGGGCGUAAAGGGCGCGUAGGCGGAUGGCACAGUCAGAUGUGAAAUUCCUGGGCUUAACCUGGGGGCUGCAUUUGAGACGUGUGAUCUGGAGUGAGGAAGAGGGUUGUGGAAUUCCCAGUGUAGAGGUGAAAUUCGUAGAUAUUCGGAAGAACACCAGUGGCGAAGGCGGCUCACUGGACCGGCAUUGACGCUGAGGUGCGAAAGCGUGGGGAGCAAACAGG